GGCCAUCUGGCCCAAUUAUGGUCAAGGCGCCUGCCUACGAAGCAGGAGAUUCCAGGUUCGAGUCCUGGGAUGGUCG
rnacentral:tRNA from 1 species